AGUUAAUAAAAGCGUAUUAAUGACAGUUCACCUGUCAACUAUCAAAAUGUGAAUUUUAUAAUUGCCCAUAUUAAUGCACAAAAUUGAAGCAUCAAUUUGUACUACGUAAACUUCAAUUCAAUCCGACGCAUCGUAAGAUUGUCUAGCGGCAGAAAUAGGAACAAGGGUUAAAAAGGCUCAGUCGGCAAAACAGGAGAAAAAGAUCAAACUAAUAGCUUAAUGGAUAACCAACUAUGAUAAAACUCUGUGCAAGAAACCACUAAUAUUGGACACAAGAAAAGAAACAUGAAACGUGAAAAUGAAAUUAUCAAGAUAUUUUGAAAGUUAACUGUACGUCAAGAAAGUUCAAAAUUAACAAAUCAUAAAUAUUCUGUAAAACACCAACUUUUAAAUCAUCUUUUUAUUUACAAAAUACAACAUAAUUAAAAGUAAGAACAAAUGAUAUGGCUGCCUUCUUAAGUUAAAGUAUUCCUACCUUCGAUCAAUAAUAGAUUCCUACAGACAUCUCUGGACCCAAACUUGGUUUGAACACCGUUAAUCAAACUGCAUGUCUUGACAAUUCUAAUGAGACAAUGAAAUAUUAUGUUGUUAAAGAAUCCCUUUGACUAAAUCUAGUUAAAUCUGAUGGAUGUAUGAUCAGUAAGCACUUGUAAAAUGUUUUACGUAUAUAUUAUAUAUAAAAGGCGAGAAAGAAAAAUAUAUAAAAAUAAAAAUGUAGAACCAAAUGGCGUAGAAUGAUCCGGAAUAAACUCUUGUUGCGAGGAGGUGUUCACGACCCUCAGUAUUGAGGAAACUGAAGCAAGAAGAAGAAGGAACUGGAAAGACGGGCAUUAAUGAAACACGUAGGAUGCUUAAAAUUAAAAUAUUUAUCUUACAAAAUCAGUGGGUGGUAAAAUUCAAACAGAAAUGUAACAGGCAUGUUUAGUUUCUUAUUUAAAUAAAACUCAUGCAUCUCGA